rnacentral:rRNA from 1 species
GUGUCAGCCGCCGCGGUAACACGUAGGGGGCCAGCGUUGUCCGGAAUUACUGGGCGUAAAGAGCGCGUAGGCGGUUUAGUAAGCGGAGGGUGAAAUUCCGGGGCUCAACUCCGGAGCUGCUCUCCGAACUGCUAGACUAGAGUUCGGGAGAGGGUAGUGGAAUUCCUGGUGUAGCGGUGGAAUGCGUAAAUAUCAGGAAGAACACCCGUGGCGAAGGCUGCUACCUGGAACGAUACUGACGCUGAGGCGCGAAAGCUAGGGGAGCGAACGGGAUUAGAUACCCCGGUAGUCCUAGCCGUAAACGAUGGACACUAGGUGUUGGGAGCAUCGACCCUCCCAGUGCUGUUCUGCUAACGCGUUAAGUGUCCCGCCUGGGGAGUACGGCCGCAAGGUUGAA